rnacentral:rRNA from 1 species
CCUACGGGAGUCAGCAGUGGGGAAUAUUGCACAAUGGGGGAAACCCUGAUGCAGCGACGCCGCGUGAGUGAAGAAGUAUUUCGGUAUGUAAAGCUCUAUCAGCAGGGAAGAAAUAAAGUCCUUCGGACUUUGGACGGUACCUGACUAAGAAGCCCCGGCUAACUACGUGCCAGCAGCCGCGGUAAUACGUAGGGGGCAAGCGUUAUCCGGAUUUACUGGGUGUAAAGGGAGCGUAGACGGCAGCGCAAGUCUGGAGUGAAAUCCCAUGGCUUAACCAUGGAACUGCCUUGGAAACUGUGUAGCUGGAGUGCAGGAGAGGUAAGCGGAAUUCCUAGGGUAGCGGUGAAAUGCGUAGAUAUUAGGAGGAACACCAGUGGCGAAGGCGGCUUACUGGACUGUAACUGACGUUGAGGCUCGAAAGCGUGGGGAGCAAACAGGAUUAGAUACCCUGGUAGUC